AACCGAAGUGCGAAUCACGUGACAUUUCGUUGCCCAGUGAACUCGUGUUCAUGCAGUAGUCAGUCGUCGUUUGAGGGUUGGAGGACAAAGAACAAACGCAAAGCGCGGAAGGAAGAGAGCAGAGACUUUUACUAUUUCCGUGCAUGGAAAUGUGAAGUAUUGACAGUCCUUGUGUAGAAAGCCAGACACUUUGUUCCCAUGGAAAUGUGAAAUGGUGCCAGGUGUUGUGUAUGUCUCCUGCCUUCACUCUGCUAGACCACUACUGCAUGGAUCUUCAGUAUCUCCAAUUAGAACAUUCUACCAUCUCCGCCAUGAUUAUGGUUGAAUUGCAAUUCCAGCGUAGCAAGUGCUGUAUCAUGUAAGGCCAGCAUGUAUGUUUUUCUCACAAAGCAACAAGGUGUGUCGAGGCGGAAGCAGUGCAUCUGGAUAGACAUGAGAAUGGUUCUAUUCCAAUGGUUGUGAGCAUGAAAUCACCUGACCUUGUGCAGAAGACAUCUUCUAUGAACCAACUACACAGUGACAUGUAUACCUCCAAUUUACUGUGUCUUAGUCAAGAAGUUAACUUGGACCUGUCUCACAGGGAGUCAUUGAUUAGCAACUAGGUAGCAGGACACACUUCACAGAUGGAACCACUUUUUAUUGUCUGGCUGGAAUUCAAAGAGCUUAAACUACCAUCAGGAAAAUCUUCCAUGUAGUAACUAAAGCUAGCAUGCGGACUUGGAACAUUGCUAUUGAGUCUUCUACACAGUAACACUGACCCAAAGUGUUGUUUUUCUAGCAUCUGGAACAUUCACACAGAUGACAGAAGAUACCUGUCAAUAAGCACAAUAAACUUUACUAUCUGUAUAUACUAACAGGCCUGAUACUGAAGGCUAUAACCAAAGCCUAAGCCGGGAUCUGCUUAGCUGAAAUAAACACAAGGCUAACCAAGUGUGACAUUAGAGCAAAAUUCAUUCAAAUGUGCCAGAGAAAGAUAGACAUCAAAAUUCACUGACAUAACAUUUUAAGUAAUGUUCAAAGAGGUAGUGGUUCAAAGGUGAUAGUGAAAACCCACUGAAUGUGACAUUAAAGUUCAGAUGUCAGUGAACGUUAGUUUAAAUAUUU